rnacentral:rRNA from 1 species
CCUACGGGUGGCAGCAGUGGGGAAUAUUGGUCAAUGGGCGAGAGCCUGAACCAGCCAAGUCGCGUGAGGGAGGAAGGUCCUGUGUAUUGUAAACCUCUUUUGUCGGGGAGCAAAAGACGCCCCGUGUGGCCUUCCGAGUGUACCCGAAGAAAAAGCAUCGGCUAACUCCGUGCCAGCAGCCGCGGUAAUACGGAGGAUGCGAGCGUUAUCCGGAUUUAUUGGGUUUAAAGGGUGCGCAGGCGGAAGGUCAAGUCAGCGGUAAAAUUGAGGGGCUCAACCUCUUCGAGCCGUUGAAACUGGGUUUCUUGAGUUAGUGAGAAGUAUGCGGAAUGCGUGGUGUAGCGGUGAAAUGCAUAGAUAUCACGCAGAACUCCGAUUGCGAAGGCAGCAUACCGGCGCCCAACUGACGCUCAGGCACGAAAGUGUGGGUAUCGAACAGGAUUAGAUACCCUUGUAGUC